UUAUGCUCAGUCGUUAGUGCAUACUUUAAACGAUUUUAUAAAGAGUAGCAACUUUUCCACUUCUCUCCUUAUAAAUUUAGAUAAUUAUCUGAAAAGCUUAUCGUAUUUCAAAAGGUUUAUCCAACGAUUUUUACUCUUCAAUUAAAUGCGAACUUACACAAUGGAUGCCCGAGGCGACAUCUCUUGAAGUUUUAAACAAAGUUACGCUCGGUUAACGCGCAAUCAACUCCUCACAAGUUGUUGAGUAGUUACUCCGGCGCUCAUGAAGUUAUUUUCAACAUAAGAUUAGAACUAUCUCACGGGUGUGGAUCAUAGAUUAAGCUACAUGAAAGUAGCAAGAUUUUCCAAUUUAAUAUUAAUGCUGCCACUCCGAUGCUUUAAUUAUAAAAGGUUGAAUAUUGUAUGUUCCAGGUUUCCUCUUUUCGGCUAGCAGUUUUCUGUACACAGUACAACACAUGCUAAUUUCUAAUCGAUGUUUUAUUUCACCGUCAGCCGAAAGAUAAGCAAUAACUUUGGAUUGAAGAGAAGACAUUGCAAAAGUGUUUGGUAUUUUUUUUAUAGAUGCACUUAUAAUUUUUAUAUUUUAUGUAACAUACUUUAACAAAUAAUUUGUGUCAUUUAUUAAACUUGAUAUGAAGACAAAAACUACUUCUCCACCUUCUAGGUGAUGAUUUCUACCCUUAUAAGAAAUCCCUGAAUAAAAUUAUUAGAAAUAUAGAAUCAAAAGGCUCAUAUGCAACAGACGCAGUUUAGCAUAAUAUCGUAAAAGCUCUUCAGAAAAUAUCAGCUAUAACUUUGUGACAGCUGAGAGAUGGAGUUGAAUGUAACGACAAUCUGCGUACUAACGACGAAUGUAGAGUUAUACAAAGUCUUUCGUUUUAGUUACAAAGUCUUUUAUUCGGAGUCGAGUCUUACCAUGAACUACGACCGUGUCAAAAACGUUAUUAGUUUUGUCAUUAGUCGCAGUUCGCAGCUUAAAUAAAUAAAUUUAUUCCAAAUUGUA